rnacentral:rRNA from 1 species
UGAAUACGAGAUGCUACGGCGUCGAAGCAGUCUAUGUCAUACUUCCAAGAAAAGCUUGCACUGUCAUAAACAAAUAAUGCCUGUACCAUAACCGACACAGGUGGGUAGGUAGAGUAUACUAAGGGGCGCGAGAUAACUCUCUCUAAGGAACUCGGCAAAAUGACUCCGUAACUUCGGGAGAAGGAGUGCCUUAUUUAUAAGGUUGCAAUAACAAGAUCCAAGCAACUGUUUACCAAAAACACAGGUCUCCGCUAAGUCGUAAGACGAUGUAUGGGGGCUGACGCCUGCCCAGUGCCAGAAGGUUAAAGAAGUUGGUUAGCAUCCGCGAAGCUGAUAACUGAAGCCCUGGUGAACGGCGGCCGUAACAAUAACGGUCCUAAGGUAGCGAAAUUCCUUGCCGGGUAAGUUCCGACCCGCACGAAAGGCGUAAUGAUUUGGAUACUGUCUCGGAGAGGGGCUCAGUGAAAUAGACUUGUCUGUGAAGAUGCGGACUACCUGCACCAGGACAGAAAGACCCUAUGAAGCUUUACUGUAACCUGAAAUUGAAAUUGGACUUUACUUGCGCAGUAUAGGUGGGAGGCGUUGAGAAUAUUCUUGCGGGAUUAUUGGAGCCAUCAGUGAGAUACCACUCUUGUAAUGUUAGAUUUCUAACUUUGUAUCAUUAUCUGGUCAAAGAACAGUUUCAGGCGGGCAGUUUGACUGGGGCGGUCGCCUCCUAAACGGUAACGGAGGCGCACAAAGGUUUCCUCUGAACGGGUAGAAAUCGUAUCUAGAGUGUAAAGGCAUAAGGAAGCUUGACUGUGAGACCUACAAGUCGAGCAGGGACGAAAGUCGGUCUUAGUGAUCUGACGGUGCUGAGUGGAAAGGCCGUCACUCAACGGAUAAAAGUUACUCUAGGAUAACAGGCUGAUCUCCCCCAAGAGUUCACAUCGACGGGGAGGUUUGGCACCUCGAUGUCGGCUCAUCGCAUCCUGGGGCGGUAGUACGUCCCAAGGGUUGGGCUGUUCGCCCAUGAAAGCGGUACGCGAGCUGGGUUCAGAACGUCGUGAGACAGUUCGGUCCAUAUCCGGUGUAGGCGUUAGAAUAUUGAGAGGAGCCUUCUUUAGUACGAGAGGACCGAGAAGGACAUACCUCUGGUGUACCAGUUCUCGUGCCAACGGUAAACGCUGGGUAGCUAUGUGUGGAGUGGAUAACCGCUGAAAGCAUCUAAGUGGGAAGCCCACCUCAAGAUAAGUAUUCUCAUC